rnacentral:lncRNA from 1 species
UGAGGAGGCUCUGCAACUGAAGGUGUCACUGGAGGAGGCUGAGUGUGAGCAUACACAACAGAGGGUAAUGGGCUCGACGCAGAGAUUUCAUGCGGGACUGGUGUUGGAGCAUGCGUUUUCUGUUGUGGAGAGGGAGCAAUAUGAGGUGCAGGGACUGGUGGUCUAAUAGGUGGUAGUACGGGAGGAUGACUAGUCGCCUUCCUUGGGAAUCUCUCGAAAUGACAAGGAGGUUUCGCCACAUGACCUUUGUGAGUUGAAUGUAUAGGGGCAGGUGCAACCACUGGUGCAGACGAUGGCACAGGUGCCAAUAUUGGUGAAACUUUCCCGCUAACUGAUCCACUUUUCUCAGCCCUCGGAGCAGGUGAAAUUGCGGGAGCAACAUUCGAGCCUUGGCGGUGGUGGUGGCGACUGUGGUGGUGAUGGUGUUGAUGGGGGUGAUAAGGUUGAGGAGCCGGAGAA